CCCAGACUUGACAUGUAGGUGGCGCACUCAGAAAUGAGUGUUUUCGUAUGAACGCCUACACAGGUGCUGCAUGGCUGUCGUCAGCUCGUGCCGUGAGGUGUUGGGUUAAGUCCCGCAACGAGCGCAACCCUUAUCACUAGUUGCCAACACGUAAUGGUGGGAACUCUGGUGAGACUGCCUGGGUGAACCAGGAGGAAGGUGAGGAUGAGGUCAAGUCAGCAUGGCCCUUAUGUCUGGGGCUUCACGCAUGCUACAAUGGCCGGUACAGAGGGCAGCAAUACCGCAAGGUGGAGCGAAUCCCAAAAAGCCGGUCCCAGUUCGGAUUGAGGUCUGCAACUCGACCUCAUGAAGUUGGAGUCGCUAGUAAUCGCGGAUCAGCAACGCCACGGUGAAUACGUUCCCGGGUCUUGUACACACGCAAUC
rnacentral:rRNA from 1 species